rnacentral:piRNA from 2 species
AUUUCAAAGAUGGUACUGUUUUA